rnacentral:rRNA from 1 species
AUUGAACGCUGGCGGCAUGCCUUACACAUGCAAGUCGAACGGCAGCACGGGGGCAACCCUGGUGGCGAGUGGCGAACGGGUGAGUAACAUAUCGGAACAUACCCUAGAGUGGGGGAUAACGUAGCGAAAGUUACGCUAAUACCGCAUACGAUCUAAGGAUGAAAGUGGGGGAUCUUCGGACCUCAUGCUCAUGGAGUGGCCGAUAUCUGAUUAGCUAGUUGGUGAGGUAAAGGCUCACCAAGGCGACGAUCAGUAGCUGGUUUGAGAGAACGACAGCCACACUGGAACUGAGACACGGUCCAGACUCCUACGGGAGGCAGCAGU